CACGAGUGUAUAUUUAUGUUGUUGCAGUUAAAAAGCUCGUAGUUGAACUUCUGUUUGUUCAGUCUGUAAGCGAUUACCGGCUGGGUGAACAUCCGCCUGAAAAAUCAUUCGGGUCUUCACUGAUUCAGUGAUGGAUCAGGCAUUUUACUUUGAAAAAAUUAGAGUGUUCAAAGCAGGCUCACGCCUGAAUACAUUAGCAUGGAAUAAUAGAAUAGGACGCUGUUCAAUUUGUUGGUUAUUGAAUUGCGUAAUGAUUAAUAGGGACAGUUGGGGGCAUUUGUAUUUAAUUGUCAGAGGUGAAAUUCUUGGAUUUAUUAAAGACGGACUACUGCGAAAGCAUUUGCCAAGGAUGUUUUCAUUGA
rnacentral:rRNA from 1 species